rnacentral:rRNA from 1 species
GGACGAACGCUGGCGGCGUGCUUAACACAUGCAAGUCGAGCGGUAAGGCCCUUUCGGGGUACACGAGCGGCGAACGGGUGAGUAACACGUGGGUGACCUGCCCUCAGCUCUGGGAUAAGCCUGGGAAACCGGGUCUAAUACCGGAUAUGACUCCAUGACGCAUGUUGUGGGGUGGAAAGCCUUGUGCGGCCGAGGAUGGGCCCGCGGCCUAUCAGCUUGUUGGUGGGGUGANGGCCUACCAAGGCGACGACGGGUAGCCGGCCUGAGAGGGCGACCGGCCACACUGGGACUGAGACACGGCCCAGACUCCUACGGGAGGCAGCAGUGGGGAAUCUUGCGCAAUGGGCGAAAGCCUGACGCAGCGACGCCGCGUGAGGGAUGACGGCCUGG